rnacentral:rRNA from 1 species
CAGUCGUACUUACGGGUAAUCAGCCUUUUGGGUGUGAUUUUGUGGAGCGUGAGGAGUUAAACGCCUUCAUGCCUGCAUAUUCGUGCACUUUGGGUCGUACCUGUCCGUGUGG